ACCCGAAAGAUCGAAUGGGGAGAUUCAUCGUCAGCGUUACUGGUACGUGUGCGGUUCGCGAUGCCCGAGACUUCGGUCUUACGGUACGCGUCCGCAUGUUUUUUAAUUACCUGGUAUCGUCGGCGUGCACUUCUCCCCUAGUAGGACGUCGCGACCCGUUGGGUGUCGGUCUACGGCCCGGGGUGGAGCCUGUCUCGCGUGGGACGCCUCGCGGCGUCACCGCGGUUCAGACCCCCGAGCGCCCGGCCGACUGCCCGGCGGUACUCGCAAGGUAUCCAGCCGCAAAUAUUUGAACUGCGUCCGGCCCGUCGCAAGCGAGGCCAGUGUUUCCCGAAUGUACGGAUCUAACGCCGUCGUCGGGCCUGGCCAGCUGUUGGCUGACGGUGUUCUGGGACCGGCUGAAAAAUUUUGAAUUAUGAUACCGGUCAGCGACGCUACUGCUUUGGGUACUUUCAGGACCCGUCUUGAAACACGGACCAAGGAGUCUAACAUGUGCGCGAGUCAUUGGGACUUGAUAAGCCCAAAGGCAAAAUGAAAGUGAAGGUCGGCCUCGCGCCGACCGAGGGAGGAUGGGCCGCGCUCUCAAAAAGAGUCGGUCCCGCACUCCCGGGACGUCUCCAUCUCAUUGCGAGAAGAGGCGUACCCAGAGCGUACACGUU
rnacentral:rRNA from 1 species